CACGAAGUUCCGAGCGAAGACGCAGGACGCAAACUGCUAUCAGAACAGCUGAGAAGGGGUGGACUCAUGCGAGCCACGUCAAAGGUCCAGUCACCACAGACGACCACUGGAAGGUGACCAGCCAGCCUGGGGACUUGAAGGUUACCAUUAA